UAAAUUAAUUAAAAUUUAAUUUCUUUUCAAUGUAAAUGAAAUACUUUCAAAUAAGCUAUAAUUUA
rnacentral:tRNA from 1 species